AUUGAACGCUGGCGGCAUGCGUAACACAUGCAAGUCGAACGGUGUUUGGUGCUUGCACCAGACAUAGUGGCGGACGGGUGAGUAAUGCGUAGGAAUCUGUCUUAGAGAGGGGGACAACCCGAGGAAACUUGGGCUAAAACCGCAUAUUCUCGAGAGAGGAAAGCAGGGGACCGGAAACGGCCUUGUGCUCUAAGGUGAGCCUACGUCGGAUUAGCUAGUUGGUAGGGUAAAAGCCUACCAAGGCGAUGAUCUGUAGCUGGUCUGAGAGGACGGACAGCCACACUGGGACUGAGACACGGCCCAGACUCCUACGGGAGGCAGCAGUGGGGAAUAUUGGACAAUGGGGGGAACCCGUGAUCCAGCGAUGCCGCGUGUGUGAAGAAGGCCUGCGGGUUGUAAAGCACUUUUGGCAGGGAAGAAAAGACACUGGCCUAAUACACCAGUGUGUUGACGUAACCUGCAGAAAGAAGCACCGGCUAACUCUGUGCCAGCAGCCGCGGUAAU
rnacentral:rRNA from 1 species